rnacentral:lncRNA from 12 species
CUGUCUGUCCCCCAGCUGAAUGCCCACUUUCUUCCCGUAACACAUGCCUGAUCUGACCUGCCUGAGAGAAAGAAGGCCAGGGUCUUAUGUCUUUCUAGAGUUCCUGGAAGAUGGCUAGUGUUAGGCAGAGUAAGGCAAUUCAGCCUUGCCAGAAAUAAAGGGAAUAAGUGAUAUAGAGAUAAGGAUGAACAUGAAGGAACUCAUGUGGAAGUAGAGUUCUUUAGCCCCGCCCCCACCCCGUUCCCACAUCACAUGGCGUAACUUCUGUCAUUGCAUUUUAACAGACUGUGAAUCUUUGUGUUUAAAUCAUGUCCUGGACACUGAGUUUCCUGACAGCAACAGCCACCUCUGUAGCAUAGGCCCCAGCACAGAGCUUCAUUCAUCUUUGAGUCUAGAAAUGUCUAUUGAAUGAAUGCAUGAGUGAAUACAUAAAUAUAGAAACAAAUAGAGAUGUUUUAGAUCUAGAGAUCAUCCUGCAAGUCUAUUAUUACUGCUCCUGUUGUUAUUACUGGCCUACUUCACAAGUUAUUUGUCUGGCUACUUUUUUCUUGAGGAGAAGAUACCUAACUGCUAAUUUCUAAAUGACUCAGCAUCUGGCCAGCCUUAGUGAGGGACAUGCCUUCGGCCUGGAGCCUAUGAUCUUCCCCCUGGAAUUAUGUGUGGUCAAUGGUUCUGAUUUUCUAGGGCUGGUUUACUGGCCUGUACUUCUUUACUUGAGAUAUAGCUACACUAACCACCUAUCACUAUUAGAGUUAAGUUCCCUGUGGCCAUGGUCUUCUGGAUUGUGAUGGUCAUGAUGACACUAAGAAUGUGUACAUGUGUUAGGGAGAGGGGUGGUGGCUUCAUUCUAUCAUAGAGAACAAGCAGCCAAAGAAUGGCCAAGUCACUCACAGCCACCUGCUUCUGGCUUCCCUGGACAUAAUUAAUCUCCUGCUGUCAGAAAUCUGUUGGCCCUGAGUCAUCAGCAGGGGAGGCUAGGAUCAGCUCAGUAAGUCAGGCAGAGUUGGUAGGCAGAAGCCAGCACAGGGAGUCAAGCUUUGGAUAAUGAAGAGAGAGAGAAAAGUUGAGAGCCUGGAAUAUUCCUAGAUUCUUGGACAGAGUAGCAAGUGUCAAAUGGGUAGUGAUGCUUGAGAGAAGAGCCAAUCCCAAGAUUUUUUUUAACAGCCCCAAUAAGGAAAACAUAAGGCCUAUAACAAAGUAGGCCAAGAUAGUUGUCAAUGUUUAAGACAGAAUAUCAGGGAAAUCUCUGUUGAAGCUGGAGUGGGUGGCAGGGACAGGGACAGGAUAUCCAUUGCUGUAGAGGUGCCCAGUGCUUCCAUCCAAGUGCACUGGGGAUCCUUCCAGAUCGAAUCACUCAAUGUGUUUACAAUGUAAUCAGUUACAAAUUCUUUUAAUAUAGCAUUUCAAGGGGAACAUGGCAUCAGAAAGUGGACGAGGACAACAAUACCUAUGUUGUAUCACACAUGACUGCUUGGCAUUAUUCCAGCUCUCUGUAUUUGUUACAGAGAAGACUCAUGUGAUUUCUUUUAGAAGUUUAAAAUGAACUUUUAAAUAAACAGAGAGAACACCUCUUUAUUUCUUCCA